CCAUCCUGGGAUUUGGGAUUGGAAUUUUCAUCCUGGGAUUUGGGAUUGGAAUUCCCAUUCCGGGAUUUGGGAUUGAAAUUCCCGUUCCGGGAUUUGGGAUUGGGAUUCGCAUUCCGGGAUUUGGGAUUGGAAUUCUCAUCCCUGGGAUUAUUUGGGAUUGGAAUUCCCAUUCCGGGAUUUGGGAUUGGGAUUCCCAUCCCUGGGAUUAUUUGGGAUUCUCAUCCCGGGAUUUGGGAUUGGAAUUCUCAUCCCGGGAUUUGGAAUUCUCAUCCCUUCCAUGGGUUUGGGUUUGGAAUUCCCAUCCCUGGGAUUAUUUGGGAUCCUCAUCUUUUCCAUGGAUCUGGGCUUGGAAUUCCCAUCCCUGGAUCUGGGAUUGGAAUUCCCAUCCCAUCCAUGGAUUUAUUUGGGAUUCCUGGAGUCUCAUCCCUGGAUGGGAUCCCCGGAUUCCGUCCUGAUCCCAUCCCAAAUUCCCAAUAUUUGGGUUUGGGAUUGGAAUUCCCAUCCCGGGAUUUAUUUGGGAUUCCUGGAGUCUCAUCCCGGAAUUUGGGCUUGGAAUUCUCAUCCCAUCCCUGGGUUUGGGAUUCCCACAUUUCCGUCCUCCCAUCCCUGGGAUUAUUUAGGAUUCCUGGAUUCCAUCCCGAUCCCAUCCCAGUGAUUUGUGAUUCCCAUCCCGGAACUUGGGGUUGGAAUUCUCCUCCCAUCCCGGGAUUUAUUUGGGAUCCUCGUCUUUUCCAUGGAUUUGGGUUUGGAAUUCUCCUCCCAUCCCUGGAAUUCCGGGAGCUCUGCCCCUCCCUGCCCUUGAUCCCAUUCCUGGAAAAUUCCCGGGAAAUUCUGCUGCUGCUUUCCAACGCGGAAUUCCAUAAAUCCACCAAAUCCUGGGAUUUUCCCCCUUUUCCCCCCCCCUCCUCCUCAUCCCGGGAUUUUCCGUGUCCUGCAGCUCCAAAAUCCCGGGAUUCUGCUCCCAAACACCCCCAGGGCUCGGAAUUCCCAGAAUUCCCAGAAUUCCCAGAAUUCCCGGAGCCCAAACUCAUCCCGAGUUCCACCCGGAAUUUUUUUGGGGGGAAUUUCCCACCCAAUUUUGGCCCUUCCCAAAUCCCGGGAAUCUCCGUCAUUCCCAACUCCGGGAUUUUCCCUUCGAAUCCUUCCCUUUCCACCCAAAAUCUGGGAUCACGGAGCCGGAAAAAAAAACACCCCAAAAACCCCUGGAUUUUCCCAAAAUUCCCACAAAAAAUUCCCACAAAAAAUUCCCGCCAAAAAUUCCCGCCAAAAAUUCCCGGAUAUCCGCUGGAAAUUAUUUGGGAUGAAAUUCCUUCAAAAUCCUUUCCCCUCAAAGAAAAAAAAAUCCUGGAUUGCAGAGCCGGGAAAAACCAGCUGGAAUUCCCAAAAAAUCCUACAAAAUUCCCAAAAUAUCCCAAAUAUCUGUUGGAAUUCGAAUUUUUUUUGGAAUUCCCCCUUCAAAAUCCUUCCGUUCCCACCCAAAACUUGGCUCGAAAACCCCAGGAAUUUCCCCAAAUUCCCACCAAAAAAAAAACCCCGGAAUUCUUUUCCCGGGAAUUUCUUUUUUCCGGCGAUUCCGCGUUUUUUCCGGAGCGAGAAAUCGACGGAAUUCCCGGGAUUCCAUCGGAUUCUUCCCAUCCUUGGAAUGUUUGGAUCCCGUUUUCCGGAGAUUGGGAAUGGGACAACCAACCAACCAAUUUCAAAAUAUGCAAAUUGUAUGCAAAUGAUAUGCAAAUGAUAUGCAAAUGAUGUGCAAAAUGGCAUGCAAAUUGUAUGCAAAUGAGCGAUCGAAAUAAAGUUUCUCUCUCUCUUUUUUUUUUUUAUUGC
ensembl:lncRNA